rnacentral:rRNA from 1 species
UGGGGAAUAUUGGACAAUGGACCGAGAGUCUGAUCCAGCAAUUCUGUGUGCACGAUGAAGUUUUUCGGAAUGUAAAGUGCUUUCAGUUGGGAAGAAAGAAAUGACGGUACCAACAGAAGAAGUGACGGCUAAAUACGUGCCAGCAGCCGCGGUAAUACGUAUGUCACGAGCGUUAUCCGGAUUUAUUGGGCGUAAAGCGCGUCUAGGUGGUUAUAUAAGUCUGAUGUGAAAAUGCAGGGCUCAACUCUAUAUUGCGUUGGAAACUGUAUAACUAGAGUACUGGAGAGGUAAGCGGAACUACAAGUGUAGAGGUGAAAUUCGUAGAUAUUUGUAGGAAUGCCGAUGGGGAAGCCAGCUUACUGGACAGAUACUGACGCUGAAGCGCGAAAGCGUGGGUAGCAAACAGGAUUAGAUACCCUGGUAGUCCACGCUGUAAACGAUGAUUACUAGGUGUUGGGGGUCGAACCUCAGCGCCCAAGCAAACGCGAUAAGUAAUCCGCCUGGGGAGUACGUACGCAAGUAUG